rnacentral:rRNA from 1 species
ACUCAAAUGAAUAGACGGGGACCCGCACAAGCGGUGGAACAUGUGGUUUAAUUCGACACUAAACGAAAAACCUCACCAGGACUUGACAUUCUACUGCAAACCCUAUGAAAGUAGGGCUCCUUCGAGGGUGUAGAACAGGUGCUGCACGGUCGUCGUCAGCUCGUGCUGUGAAGUGUCCCGUUAAGUCGGUAAACGAGCGCAACCCCUAUUGCAUGUUGUAUUUCUCAUGCGAGACUGCCGGUGUUAAAUCGGAGGAAGGCGGGGAUGACGUCAGAUCAGCGUGGCUCUUACGUUCUGGGCUACACACGUGUUACAAUGGGUAGAUCAAAGGGUCGCUAAGCCGUAAGGUGGAGCUAAUCCCAUCAAACCUACCCCCAGUUCGGAUUGAGGGCUGCAAUUCGCCCUCAUGAAGUCGGAAUCGCUAGUAAUCGUAGGUCAGCUAUACUACGGUGAAUACGUUCUCGGGUCUUGUACACACCGCCCGU